rnacentral:rRNA from 1 species
GAUGAGCAUGCGUCCCAUUAGCUAGUUGGUAAGGUAACGGCUUACCAAGGCUACGAUGGGUAGGGGUCCUGAGAGGGAGAUCCCCCACACUGGUACUGAGACACGGACCAGACUCCUACGGGAGGCAGCAGUGAGGAAUAUUGGACAAUGGGCGCAAGCCUGAUCCAGCCAUGCCGCGUGCAGGAUGACGGUCCUAUGGAUUGUAAACUGCUUUUAUACGAGAAGAAACACUCCUUCGUGAAGGAGCUUGACGGUAUCGUAAGAAUAAGGAUCGGCUAACUCCGUGCCAGCAGCCGCGGUAAUACGGAGGAUCCAAGCGUUAUCCGGAAUCAUUGGGUUUAAAGGGUCCGUAGGCGGUUUAAUAAGUCAGUGGUGAAAGCCCAUCGCUCAACGGUGGAACGGCCAUUGAUACUGUUAGACUUGAAUUAUUAGGAAGUAACUAGAAUAUGUAGUGUAGCGGUGAAAUGCUUAGAGAUUACAUGGAAUACCAAUUGCGAAGGCAGGGUACUACUAAUGGAUUGAC